rnacentral:rRNA from 1 species
GGGUUGUGAGGUUAAGCGACUAAGCGUACACGGUGGAUGCCCUGGCAGUCAGAGGCGAUGAAGGACGUGCUAAUCUGCGAUAAGCGUCGGUAAGGUGAUAUGAACCGUUAUAACCGGCGAUUUCCGAAUGGGGAAACCCAGUGUGAUUCGUCACACUAUCAUUAACUGAAUCCAUAGGUUAAUGAGGCGAACCGGGGGAACUGAAACAUCUAAGUACCCCGAGGAAAAGAAAUCAACCGAGAUUCCCCCAGUAGCGGCGAGCGAACGGGGAGCAGCCCAGAGCCUGAAUCAGUGUGUGUGUUAGUGGAAGCGUCUGGAAAGGCGCGCGAUACAGGGUGACAGCCCCGUACACAAAAAUGCACAUGCUGUGAGCUCGAUGAGUAGGGCGGGACACGUGGUAUCCUGUCUGAAUAUGGGGGGACCAUCCUCCAAGGCUAAAUACUCCUGACUGACCGAUAGUGAACCAGUACCGUGAGGGAAAGGCGAAAAGAACCCCGGCGAGGGGAGUGAAAAAGAACCUGAAACCGUGUACGUACAAGCAGUGGGAGCACGCUUAGGCGUGUGACUGCGUACCUUUUGUAUAAUGGGUCAGCGACUUAUAUUCUGUAGCAAGGUUAACCGAAUAGGGGAGCCGAAGGGAAACCGAGUCUUAACUGGGCGUUAAGUUGCAGGGUAUAGACCCGAAACCCGGUGAUCUAGCCAUGGGCAGGUUGAAGGUUGGGUAACACUAACUGGAGGACCGAACCGACUAAUGUUGAAAAAUUAGCGGAUGACUUGUGGCUGGGGGUGAAAGGCCAAUCAAACCGGGAGAUAGCUGGUUCUCCCCGAAAGCUAUUUAGGUAGCGCCUCGUGAAUUCAUCUCCGGGGGUAGAGCACUGUUUCGGCAAGGGGGUCAUCCCGACUUACCAACCCGAUGCAAACUGCGAAUACCGGAGAAUGUUAUCACGGGAGACACACGGCGGGUGCUAACGUCCGUCGUGAAGAGGGAAACAACCCAGACCGCCAGCUAAGGUCCCAAAGUCAUGGUUAAGUGGGAAACGAUGUGGGAAGGCCCAGACAGCCAGGAUGUUGGCUUAGAAGCAGCCAUCAUUUAAAGAAAGCGUAAUAGCUCACUGGUCGAGUCGGCCUGCGCGGAAGAUGUAACGGGGCUAAACCAUGCACCGAAGCUGCGGCAGCGACGCUUAUGCGUUGUUGGGUAGGGGAGCGUUCUGUAAGCCUGCGAAGGUGUGCUGUGAGGCAUGCUGGAGGUAUCAGAAGUGCGAAUGCUGACAUAAGUAACGAUAAAGCGGGUGAAAAGCCCGCUCGCCGGAAGACCAAGGGUUCCUGUCCAACGUUAAUCGGGGCAGGGUGAGUCGACCCCUAAGGCGAGGCCGAAAGGCGUAGUCGAUGGGAAACAGGUUAAUAUUCCUGUACUUGGUGUUACUGCGAAGGGGGGACGGAGAAGGCUAUGUUGGCCGGGCGACGGUUGUCCCGGUUUAAGCGUGUAGGCUGGUUUUCCAGGCAAAUCCGGAAUAUCAAGGCUGAGGCGUGAUGACGAGGCACUACGGUGCUGAAGCAACAAAUGCCCUGCUUCCAGGAAAAGCCUCUAAGCAUCAGGUAACAUCAAAUCGUACCCCAAACCGACACAGGUGGUCAGGUAGAGAAUACCAAGGCGCUUGAGAGAACUCGGGUGAAGGAACUAGGCAAAAUGGUGCCGUAACUUCGGGAGAAGGCACGCUGAUAUGUAGGUGAAGUCCCUCGCGGAUGGAGCUGAAAUCAGUCGAAGAUACCAGCUGGCUGCAACUGUUUAUUAAAAACACAGCACUGUGCAAACACGAAAGUGGACGUAUACGGUGUGACGCCUGCCCGGUGCCGGAAGGUUAAUUGAUGGGGUUAGCGCAAGCGAAGCUCUUGAUCGAAGCCCCGGUAAACGGCGGCCGUAACUAUAACGGUCCUAAGGUAGCGAAAUUCCUUGUCGGGUAAGUUCCGACCUGCACGAAUGGCGUAAUGAUGGCCAGGCUGUCUCCACCCGAGACUCAGUGAAAUUGAACUCGCUGUGAAGAUGCAGUGUACCCGCGGCAAGACGGAAAGACCCCGUGAACCUUUACUAUAGCUUGACACUGAACAUUGAGCCUUGAUGUGUAGGAUAGGUGGGAGGCUUUGAAGUGUGGACGCCAGUCUGCAUGGAGCCGACCUUGAAAUACCACCCUUUAAUGUUUGAUGUUCUAACGUUGACCCGUGAUCCGGGUUGCGGACAGUGUCUGGUGGGUAGUUUGACUGGGGCGGUCUCCUCCUAAAGAGUAACGGAGGAGCACGAAGGUUGGCUAAUCCUGGUCGGACAUCAGGAGGUUAGUGCAAUGGCAUAAGCCAGCUUGACUGCGAGCGUGACGGCGCGAGCAGGUGCGAAAGCAGGUCAUAGUGAUCCGGUGGUUCUGAAUGGAAGGGCCAUCGCUCAACGGAUAAAAGGUACUCCGGGGAUAACAGGCUGAUACCGCCCAAGAGUUCAUAUCGACGGCGGUGUUUGGCACCUCGAUGUCGGCUCAUCACAUCCUGGGGCUGAAGUAGGUCCCAAGGGUAUGGCUGUUCGCCAUUUAAAGUGGUACGCGAGCUGGGUUUAGAACGUCGUGAGACAGUUCGGUCCCUAUCUGCCGUGGGCGCUGGAGAAUUGAGGGGGGCUGCUCCUAGUACGAGAGGACCGGAGUGGACGCAUCACUGGUGUUCGGGUUGUCAUGCCAAUGGCACUGCCCGGUAGCUAAAUGCGGAAGAGAUAAGUGCUGAAAGCAUCUAAGCACGAAACUUGCCCCGAGAUGAGUUCUCCCUGACUCCUUGAGAGUCCUGAAGGAACGUUGAAGACGACGACGUUGAUAGGCCGGGUGUGUAAGCGCAGCGAUGCGUUGAGCUAACCGGUACUAAUGAACCGUGAGGCUUAACCUUACAACGCCGAAG